ACAGAGGGGGCUAGCGUUGUUCGGAAUAACUGGGCGUAAAGGGUGCGUAGGUGGUUACUUAAGUGAGGUGUUAAAUACCCAGGCUCAACCUGGGACAAGCGCUUCAAACUGGGAGACUAGAGUAUGGUAGAGGAAAGUGGAAUUCCUAGUGUAGAGGUGAAAUUCGUAGAUAUUAGGAGGAACACCAGAGGCGAAGGCGACUUUCUGGGCCAUUACUGACACUGAGGCACGAAAGCGUGGGGAGCAAACAGG
rnacentral:rRNA from 1 species